GCCAGACAUGGUAGCCCAUGCCUGUAAUCCUAGCUAAGCAGGAGGCUCAAGGCAGGAGGAUCACUUGAGUCUAGGAGUUAAGUAACAGUUUGGGCAGUAAAGACCCUUUCUUUU
rnacentral:sRNA from 1 species